AAUAUUGGAAAAUGGUCGAAAGCCUGAUCCAGCCAGGCCGCGUGUGUGAAGAAUGUAUUAGGACUGUCACGCACUUUAAGUUGGGAGGAAGGGGCUGAAGCUAAUACCCUCAAACUUUGACGUUACCAACAGAAUAAGCACCGGCUAACUCCAUGCCAGCCGCCGCGGUAAUACAGAGGGUGCAAGCGUUAAUCGGAAUUACUGAGCGUAAAGCGCGCGUAGGUAGUUCAGUAAGAUGGAAGUGAAAUCCCCGGGCUUAACCUGGGAACUGCUUUCAUAACUGCUGAACUAGAGUACGGUAGAGGAUAGUGGAAUUUCCUGUGUAGCGGUGAAAUGCGUAGAUAUAGGAAGGAACACCAGUGGCGAAGGCGACUACCUGGACUGAUACUGACACUGAGGUGCGAAAGCGUGGGGAGCAAACAG
rnacentral:rRNA from 1 species